rnacentral:tRNA from 1 species
GGCCCUUUGGCCCAAUGGUAAGGCGUCUGACUACGAUCAUAUCUGUAAUCAGGAGAUUCUGGGUUCGAGCCCCAGGAGGGUCA